rnacentral:misc_RNA from 1 species
GAUGAAGAACGUAGCGAAAUGCGAUAAGUAAUGUGAAUUGCAGAAUUCAGUGAAUCAUCGAAUCUUUGAACGCACAUUGCGCCCCUUGGUAUUCCGAGGGGCAUGCCUGUUCGAGCGUCAUUUCAACCCUCAAGCACAGCUUGGUCUUGGGCUUCGCCGCUAACCCGGCGGGUCUUAAAAUCAGUGGCGGUGCCGUCGGGCCCUGAGCGCAGUAAUCUCUCUCGCUAUAUGGUCCCGGCGGAUGCUGGCCAGUAACCCCCAAUUUUCUAUGGUUGACCUCGGAUCAGGUAGGGAUACCCGCUGAACUUAAGCAUAUCAAUAAGCGGAGGA